rnacentral:tRNA from 1 species
GGAGAAGUACCCAAGCUGGCUGAAGGGGCUCCCCUGGAAAGGGAGUAGGUCGUUAAUAGCGGCGCGAGGGUUCAAAUCCCUCCUUCUCCGCUA